AUUGAACGCUGGCGGCAUGCUUUAUACAUGCAAGUCGAACGGUAACAGGCCGCAAGGUGCUGACGAGUGGCGAACGGGUGCGUAAUGCAUCGGAACGUGCCCAGUCGUGGGGGAUAACUACUCGAAAGAGUAGCUAAUACCGCAUACGAUCUAUGGAUGAAAGCGGGGGACCGUAAGGCCUCGCGCGAUUGGAGCGGCCGAUGUCAGAUUAGGUAGUUGGUGGGGUAAAGGCUCACCAAGCCAACGAUCUGUAGCUGGUCUGAGAGGACGACCAGCCACACUGGGACUGAGACACGGCCCAGACUCCUACGGGAGGCAGCAGUGGGGAAUUUUGGACAAUGGGCGCAAGCCUGAUCCAGCAAUGCCGCGUGCAGGAAGAAGGCCUUCGGGUUGUAAACUGCUUUUGUACGGAACGAAACGGCUCUGGUUAAUACCCGGGGCUAAUGACGGUACCGUAAGAAUAAGCACCGGCUAACUACGUG
rnacentral:rRNA from 1 species